rnacentral:misc_RNA from 1 species
CCCCAAUCAUAUUCAGGGCCCCCAGGAUUAUGGCUUGCGCUCAUUAUAAAUCCACCAUUGGCCUUCCUCUUUCGGAUCACAGCAGAAACGGCUGGGGUAGACAUAACACCUUCCUUGCCAACCAGGAUUUUACCAACAUCAUUCCCUGCUGCAAUUUUCAUGAUUAUCUGUGAAGCAAGUAACGACCGUCCCCUCCUAAGACCAACAAACCAUUCUUGUAAUCCUCAGAUGGUAAUGAAUUAAACAAUGCCUGGAUCCAAUUCGCAAGAUAAUUUUCUUGCAUGAAAACUUUAACCUUUUUUCGAAGACCACUAGUCCCUGUCUUCUGGCCCUCGAUCGGCUUCGUUGGCACUGAAUUAAUCUUGAUGCCUUCAGGUUCGGCGAUGGCGGUGGAAGAGGAAGAAGAUGAAACUUUGACGGAGAGAGAGUGAGUUAGUGAAGUUUUCAAAAGAGAAAAUUUUGGAGAGACGAGAGGAGAAGAGGAAAGCAGAGAAAAUGAUGAGAUUGGAGGAGAAAGGACGCUCCCAUUUCCAUUUCCAUUAUUCGAAUGCUUAAACUUGGAGAUGGCGUGAGAGAAGACGUUUUCUACUCUCAAACAAGAAGAGAACACCAUUGUUAUGGUUAAGGAAAUCUUCAGUGACGAUGAUCGCUAUAGCUUUGCUCGCUCGCUCUCUC